AUAUUAAAAGCCCCUAAUCACUAGCUUUCUACGAUCAUAUAAACUACAAAACAGCAACACUAGACUAGGAGCUGAAACUAUACUACAAUAUGAACGCACCCACAGCUUCCACAAACGGUAUCACCACUCGAAAAUUCCUCAACUAGAUUAGGAGGAUCUUCCCGACAUUCAGAGCAUAUCAUUUUGACCGAAAGCAUGCUCGUCGGCAAACCUGUAAAUGAUGGUGCGUUCAUGGUUGAGGGCA